rnacentral:siRNA from 1 species
GAUGUCGUCGGCCACGGACAUAGC